rnacentral:lncRNA from 1 species
GGAAAUUGGUGCGGAGGGAAGGAAUUUGGCCACCAUGUUCCCAUGCCCCGCGCCAAGUCUCUGGCGCCGUACGGGAUCGAGCUCCGCCGUCGUGUGGGCGUGCAACGCUGCUGGAGCGGGCAAUAAGGCUUUGGAGCACGAGCUCCCGUCGUCCCUUCGCGAGGCGACGGCGCUCUCUUCUCCCUUCAUUAACUGAUGUCCACGUCAUCUUUUUUUGUCAUCUUUUUUUGGCCACCGUGGAACCAAAAGACGACCCACCGACAGGCAUUGUAAGUGCC